AUUUAGAGGAAGUAAAAGUCGUAACAAGGUUUCCGUAGGUGAACCUGCGGAAGGAUCAUUAGUGAAUAUAGGACGUCCAACUUAACUUGGAGUCCGAACUCUCACUUUCUAACCCUGUGCACUUGUUUGGGAUAGUAACUCUCGCAAGAGAGCGAACUCCUAUUCACUUAUAAACACAAAGUCUAUGAAUGUAUUAAAUUUUAUAACAAAAUAAAACUUUCAACAACGGAUCUCUUGGCUCUCGCAUCGAUGAAGAACGCAGCGAAAUGCGAUAAGUAAUGUGAAUUGCAGAAUUCAGUGAAUCAUCGAAUCUUUGAACGCACCUUGCGCUCCAUGGUAUUCCGUGGAGCAUGCCUGUUUGAGUGUCAUGAAUACUUCAACCCUCCUCUUUCUUAAUGAUUGAAGAGGUGUUUGGUUUCUGAGCGCUGCUGGCCUUUACGGUCUAGCUCGUUCGUAAUGCAUUAGCAUCCGCAAUCGAACUUCGGAUUGACUUGGCGUAAUAGACUAUUCGCUGAGGAAUUCUAGUCUUCGGACUAGAGCCGGGUUGGGUUAAAGGAAGCUUCUAAUCAGAAUGUCUACAUUUUAAGAUUAGAUCUCAAAUCAGGUAGGACUACCCGCUGAACUUAAGCAUAUCAAUAAGCGGAGGAAAAGAAACUAACAAGGAUUCCCCUAGUAGCGGCGAGCGAAGCGGGAAGAGCUCAAAUUUAUAAUCUGGCACCUUCGGUGUCCGAGUUGUAAUCUCUAGAAAUGUUUUCCGCGUUGGACCGCACACAAGUCUGUUGGAAUACAGCGGCAUAGUGGUGAGACCCCCGUAUAUGGUGCGGACGCCCAGCGCUUUGUGAUACAUUUUCGAAGAGUCGAGUUGUUUGGGAAUGCAGCUCAAAUCGGGUGGUAAAUUCCAUCUAAAGCUAAAUAUUGGCGAGAGACCGAUAGCGAACAAGUACCGUGAGGGAAAGAUGAAAAGCACUUUGGAAAGAGAGUUAACAGUACGUGAAAUUGUUGGAAGGGAAACGCUUGAAGUCAGACUUGCUUGCCGAGCAGUCGGUUUGCAGGCCAGCAUCAGUUUUCCGGGAUGGAUAAUGGUAGAGAGAAGGUAGCAGUUUCGGCUGUGUUAUAGCUCUCUGCUGGAUACAUCUUGGGGGACUGAGGAACGCAGUGUGCCUUUGGCGGGGGUUUCGACCUCUUCACACUUAGGAUGCUGGUGGAAUGGCUUUAAACGACCCGUCCUUGA
rnacentral:rRNA from 1 species